rnacentral:lncRNA from 1 species
CUGGCUACUUGAUCCCUGCUUGGCUGGAACAAGAGCUGAGCAGAAGAAAAGAGGGUGAAAAGAUCAGGAAAGAGUCUUUCAGGAAACAGCUGUGAGUGCCAAAGCUCCCUCUGCAAUACCAAAGGUGUUUGCCCAUGAAAUUUGCCCCAAGUCUCCCUUCCAUAGCUAGCUAAUUCAUUUCAUUCGCUUGGGAAAGGGAAACUAUAUUGCUAACAGGAUCGAAUGGGCUGUCAAGAAAAUGUAGCCACAUUUGAAACUUUUUUUUGUCAAAACCUCAUUUGUUUAUUUUAUAUGGAUUUUGAAAUUUCAUUUCUGCUCAGCUGAUGGAGCCAAGGUGUUUAGACUAGACCUGUGCCAUUCCAGCAUUUAAGUAACUGACAGGGGCUUUGACGGAUAGUGCAAUUUCCUGGGGAAAUUUCUCUGUCUUUUAAAGUGCUCUUUUCCUUUUUUAAAAAAAAAAAAAAGACUGGAUGUUGCAGCUGUCAUACUUUUUCAUCUUAAUAGUCAUAACGUGGGCUUUUCACUUCCUCUCUUUCUCUGCUCAAGGCACCUGCACUCUUGAUUUAACUCUAAACAUCCCGGGGGGGGGCAAGUUGGGUGUUUUUUGAAAAAAUUAAACUAGAAGGAGCAGCCAGCUGGUUAGAUACUCACAAAGUCCUCUCAAGGCAGCCCUGUCUGAAGGGUCACUGUGUGAGUUGAGGGAGCCACAAGGUUGGUGUCACACCUGAGCCAGGAAAGGUGAUCAGGAGGUCUGCAAGUUGAAGGAGGAAAACAAUUCUCGACUGUAGCUUGAAGAGUUCUGAUUAUCCUUCUGGCUCCUGACCCUCCUGACCAGGGAAGUCAGGUGAUCCCAUAACCCCCUCUGAUUGGCUAUGUUGUGCUAUGGCUUCAUCAGGCUGGCACCAUUAUCCCCACUAGGCUGGUUCACAUGCAGCCCAGUGAUAUGGAGGGCAACAGAUGCAUGGCCUGGGUGACUUGCCAGCGGUGAUGACACAGCAGCCCAUGACCUUCCUUCCCAGGGAAGCCAGGUGAGGAGAGAGAGACAAGAAUCAGGCCAAUGGCUCAUCCAGUUCCCUCAAUGGCAAGCAAGAUGCCUGUGGGAAACUUGCAUGCAGGAAUCAAGCCAAAUAGGGCUCUCCCCAUUGGCUAUCAGCCUCAGGACAACCUUGUGAGGUAGGCUAGGUUGAGAGCAGGUGGUUGGGCCAAGUCACCCAGAGUACUUGGCACCUAAGUGAGAAUGCCUCACCACUCCUUGUCCAACCUACUAACUGGGACUUUGCACCGACUGCUGAUUGGCUACUGGGGAGCCUGCCUAAAAACCGGAGCACGUGGUCUGGGCUGGUGUCCAGGCACCUGCUGAUUGUUUGUACCCCAAGAGCCACUUUGCCACCAGACCAAGCCCUCCUCUUCUUCAUGGGAACUGUUACGUAUGCAGAAGUGAACCUCCUUGCUUCUCCUCAGACAAGAGUGAUGAUCACAGGCUUUUGGCCUAGCCAGUGGGAGCAAGGAGGAGGUGGAGGAGUGGCUGGAGGAGCUGUGGCUCAUCAUGGCAAAGAGGCAGACCCUCUGACGGAGGCGGGGGCAAGGGCGUCUUGCCAAAGGGCCGUGCGAAAUCCAGAGCCAUUGCUGCUCAAAAGCCCCAUCUGUGCUAGAUGUUUAAAGCACUGCCUUAGCACUUUAAACAGUCGUGGUCUCCCCCAAAGAAUCCUGGGGAUUGCAGCUUCCGGGCGCAGGAAUUUAUGAGGAAAUCUGCUCACAGGGCUACAAUUCCCAGAAUGACUUAAGCAUCAACCCCCCCUCCCUCCCCAGUGAACUCCAGGAGCUGUAGCUCUGUGAGAGGAAGUGGGCUCUCCAUUUACAAACUACCGUUCCCAGGAUUCUUUGGGGGAAGCAGGAUGGUUUAAGUAGUAUAGCAGUUGGGGGGUUCAGUGCAUACUGUGGAUGUAGCCACACUUUGGAAGCAGGUGCAGCUGGAGAGUGGGGCGCUCAGUAUUUGCAGCAGAAAGUGGUUCAAGUUCCCAGAUGAGCUCAAAUGUGGAUAAAUGCCCCCCCAGCCAGUUAUCCAAAGAUUUUCCCCCACCCUCUUUCCAGCCCUUGCAGCUGUUUCUCCUCUUCCUUCUCCGUAUCUCAACAGGUUUGCUGCUCCCCUGUGUGACCAGCAUGUUGGGGGGGUAGGUUGUCUCUGGCUUCCAGAUCCAAACGAGCCCUGCAAUUCUGCCCCCCAGCCCAGCCCGCUUUCCUCUGCUCUGCCACAGGCAUUUUAGUAUGUAAAUCCCUUCUGAAUUAAAUCCACCAAGGCAUCAGAGACUUUUUAGAAGGAACACUGCUUCCCAGGGGCGCUUAAGGGUUUUACUCAGUGAUCCCAGCCAGUCUUUGGUAUCUUCAUCUCUCUUCCUCGUUGGCAGAAUUGUCUGUAUUGGGCUUCCUUCCCCAUUUCCCAUUAGUUACCUCAACCACUGAAGCUUCACUGGUUCCACAUAAAAGGGCCUCUUCCCUUGGGCAGCUUUUUGCCUUUCUAAAAGCAGCAUUAUCUGAAACACACACACACCCUUCUAUUUCCAAUGUUCAUGCUGUACGUGCCAUCUACUUAUGCACCCUCCAUGCACUCCCCCCCCCAGGAACCCUCCAAAACAGUCUAAUUCAGCCUGAGCAUGCUCAGUGCCCAUAGAAUCUGAAAAGCAGGUGGCAGGGGGAGUGGAACAGAGGAGCUGCAAAAGAGGGACUGGGACAUAGAGGAGGGAGAAAAGUUGUUUUCUGCUGCUCCAGAGAAGCGGACACGGAGCAAUGGAUCCAAACUACAAGAAAGAAGAUUCCACCUAAACAUUAGGAAGAACUUCCUGACAGUAAGAGCUGUUCAACAGUGGAAUUUGCUGCCAAGGAGUGUGGUGGAGUCUCCUUCUUUGGAGGUCUUUAAGCAGGGGCUUGACAACCAUAUGUCAGGAGUGCUCUGAUGGUGUUUCCUGCUUGGCAGGGGGUUGGACUCGAUGGCCCUUGUGGUCUCUUCCAACUCUAUGAUUCUAUGAUUCUAUGACACGGAGUCCUUAGAAAGCCAGAGAGAGCUGUCCCUUUUCCUGGACAGGACUUUUCCUGCUUCGUACAGUGAAGCAGGACUGAGCAGGCAGAGCAACCCAUCUUAUGCCUAGUGCACUUCGGAGGCAUCUAGACGGGGUCCUGGGGGGGGGCACAGGAGAUGCUGGUGGGCAAACGGCAAGCAUCUCUUUGGUGACCUUUGCUCCACAUCAGAUAUAAUUUUAUACACCUGGCUCAUGUCUUUGCUCACCUGCCUUUUAUUCUAAAAUGAAAACCCGCAAGCACUUUAACCUUUCUUCCUCAGGGAUCAGUUGCCACGGAUGGUGAAAACAAAACAAAUCAGGAGAACUUAAAAACAUAAGAAGAGUCCUGCUGGAUCAGGCCCGUGGCCCAUGUAGUCCAGCCUCCUGUUCUCACAAUGGCCAGCCAGCAGCCUGAGGGAAGCCUGCAAACUGGACCUAAGCAGCCCUCUGCCCCCUUGUCAUUCCCAGGAACCUCUCUCCGAACAUACCACCUCCGACAGUGGAGACAGAGCAGAGCCAUCCUGACUAGCAGCCAUCCACAGCUGAAUCCGCCAUGAAUUUGCCUGACCCCCUUUGGAAGUCUUCCAAGUUGGCAACCAUCACCACCUCCUUUGGAAGUUCCAUAGUCCAGCCAUGCGCUGCAUGACAAAAUUGUUGGGCAUCUGAGCCAACCGAGUUUGCGCAGCGACUGGGGCAAUGGAAUAAAAACUUGCCUGCAAUAUCUUUGCCACU